GAGAGCCUCUGCGGCUCCCGGAGCCUCCGGCAUCCCAGCGGCAAGCGCUCGGCGUGGUGGCAGGAAGGUGUUGGUGUGUUUUAGCGUGCCUGUCCCAGCGACCCGUCACCCGACUGUGUUUUCUUGCUCCUUACGCAGCAGAGUCAGGAUUCGCCUCCCUGGCCCGGGUGCACGUCUGUUCGAGCAGCGAGUUGUCUCUUGAAAUGUAUUGCGAUUAACGGGACGGAAUAUUGUUUGCUGUAAGGAUUAGCCCGUCUUUUCUGACUUGCCGUGCGGCCGCACAAAGUUAGGCCAGCACAGCUGAAGGGCUGAGCAGAGCAGGGGACACAGCUGGGCGGGUGUUUACCAGCAUUGCUGCUGAAUGCCUUUCGUUGUGAUGAUGCCACAAUAUCAGUCAUGGAAAUGGAGUCUUCACAUAGCAUAGACAGAAUUUGUGUGUGAUUUAACCCGAAUCUCUGUUUUUGCUGCCUGCUAUCAGAACAUUUGGUCUGGGUAGUUGACUGAGGUGACAUAUAGGUAGGAGAAUAUGUAAAGAAAUCAGCGUUUGUUUACUUUAAUGUAUUCGUCAACAGCCUGCAGCAUUCAUGGUUGAUUCAUGAUGUAUCCCUGAAGUAGAGAUGAUAAUGCCUGUAAAAUUGUUAGGGUAGAAAGCUUAAAGUUAUAAUCUUUUUACCCAGCCCAGCUGAAUCUUCUACUGCAUACGAAUGAGUGCCUUAAUAUGGGGUUCCUCGUACAAGGCAGAGGGAAGUGGUUUUCUCAUCAUACAGCUCAGCUUAAUGCCACUUCUGUUCCCAGGUCAUUAAAUAUUUCGGCCUCUACCGCCUAUACAAGUUUCCCAAAGCUUUAAGAUACUUGAGCUGUAGGAGUGGAUAUAACUUAAGGAAGUAAAAACACGCUCAUGGUACACUUUUCCAUAUGACUAAAGGAAAAAAUAUCAUUCAUCUGGGACCAAAGAAUAACAUCCUACUUUUAGAGUAGGAAAUGUGUCAUGAAUCAGAGACUCUAAACAGGAUUUGAGGAAUAUUUGCAAGAUCUUUGCUUCUUCAUCACCAGAAGUUCCAGUUAGUUCUUGUGGAGAUGGCUGGGACAGCCUCAAAAGAGGAUUGUGAGGUGGGAGGGGGACGUGAGGAGAGCUGCAUGUGAGGUGGCAGUUUUCAGCAGCAGUGAUUUGAGAGAGAUUGCUGGUGGCCUUCUUCCUCCACGCUGGAAGAAGCAGGAUGAAAGGUGUAAGGACUUGUGCUACUUCCACGUAAUACAGAGAGAUCUUCUGAAGUCUAGAGACUGGUUCAUUUCCUUCUGCUACUGAAGAUGGACCUGCUGUAACCUUCACAUUCAGUCAAAUUGGAGAAAUACUGGUUAAUUGUUUUUGCAACAUUCCUGCAGUUGGUGUUGUCAGGACUUGAUGCUGUCUUGUGUUCUAGGAGGAUGAUGGCUCAACAAACAGUCCUAUUGUCACAAAUGCGUAAACAGUUCAGCAAGAAAUGUAACAAAAGCACUGUGCUACAGAAGCAAUAAGCAGCAGGGACAAUAGAAUUUCUUGGGAAGAAAUGUCUUUUUUUAAGGUGAACAUCAUCUGGAGAAUUAAAAAAAGCAGUCUAAAUAGAGAAAUAACUUCUAAAUGUUUUUUUUUUCUGUGAUGCUGCUGCAGGUCUUUGAAGAAUGUUUUAUUAAUAUCCUUGGUGUUUCAGAGAAACAUCUAUCUUGUGCUUUGACCAAAAAUUUACAUAAAUUUCAAUUGCUUGAUCUGAAAGAGUUUUUCCAGCACAAAUGGUGACACUUAGUCUUUUCUGAGCACAGUAGCCACUGGUCAUGAUGGUUUUAGACUUGAGUGCUAUCAUUCUUCUGAUACUCAAUACCUGCAUUUUCUACUGGGCAAUCAAAGCACUGUAUUUCAGUCUCUAACAGAUUUAGCUGAGGAAAGUCCCUCCUUUAAUUUUCUGUUAUACCCCUGUACUGGAGUGUACUAUUUCCGUUUCAGGUCUGGCUCAUCAUGUGGUGCCCCUUGAACCCAGUUUUAUAACUGAACCCACAUAUCGUUCCAUUUGUCUCUGCUGUUGGGCAGUAACUUCUGGCACAAACACGUAAACCUCUUCAGCAAACGCAGCACAAUCUGCAAGUUGUCUGUGAACUGAAGCCCUUUGUUACUCAGACUCUUCCUCAGCAUGUACUAAUAAAAAGAAGCAAUUACACAAGCAA